GUUCUCGUAGUUCAAUGGAUAGAACCGGCCCCUCCUAAGGGUCAAAUGCAGGUUCGAUUCCUGCCGAGAACA
rnacentral:tRNA from 1 species